UGGGGAAUAUUGGACAAUGGGCGAAAGCCUGAUCCAGCCAUGCCGCGUGUGUGAAGAAGGUCUUCGGAUUGUAAAGCACUUUAAGCGAGGAGGAGGGUACUGGUAUUAAUACUACCAGCUACUGGACGUUACUCGCAGAAUAAGCACCGGCUAACUCUGUGCCAGCAGCCGCGGUAAUACAGAGGGUGCGAGCGUUAAUCGGAUUUACUGGGCGUAAAGCGUGCGUAGGCGGCUAAUUGAGUCGGAUGUGAUAUCCCCGAGCUUAACUUGGGAAUUGCAUUCGAUACUGGUUAGCUAGAGUGUGGGAGAGGAUGGUAGAAUUCCAGGUGUAGCGGUGAAAUGCGUAGAGAUCUGGAGGAAUACCGAUGGCGAAGGCAGCCAUCUGGCCUAACACUGACGCUGAGGUACGAAAGCAUGGGGAGCAAACAGG
rnacentral:rRNA from 1 species